AGGAAUGCAUGGGUAACCUGUCCUUGAGAAGGGAAUAACCCGCCGAAAGGUGAGCUAAUACCCUAUACGCUUUGCUUUUUUUGAAAAGUGAAGGAAAGUCAAGCCGUGGGCUUGGCGCUCUCGGAGGGGCUCAUGUCCUAUCAGCUUGUUGGUGGGGUAACGGCCUACCAAGGCUACGACGGGUAGCUGGUCUGAGAGGAUGAUCAGCCACACUGGCACUGAGAUACGGGCCAG
rnacentral:rRNA from 1 species